UGGAAAGAGCGAUAUUGGUGAGGUUCAAUCCGAUGAUGGGUUUUACAGCGCAGUGGUAAAACCAGUAUCUGAUUGAGCCGCGCCAAUAUCUCUUCCUCCUAU
rfam:Oryza brachyantha chromosome 6, whole genome shotgun sequence.